CUAUCCGCCAGGGAACUACGACCAUCAGCUUAAAACCCAAAGGACUUGGCGGUGCUUUAGACCCACCUAGAGGAGCCUGUUCUAGAACCGAUAACCCCCGUUCAACCUCACCCUUUCUUGCUCUUACCGCCUAUAUACCGCCGUCGUCAGCUUACCCUGUGAAGGAUCAAUAGUAAGCAAAGCCAGUAAAGCUCAAAACGUCAGGUCGAGGUGUAGCACAUGAAGGGGGAAGAAAUGGGCUACAUUCUCUGCCUCAGAACACACGGAUAAUGCAAUGAAAAACCAUUUGAAGGAGGAUUUAGCAGUAAGCAAGAAUUAGAGUGUUUUGCUGAAACUGGCCCUGAAGCGCG
rnacentral:rRNA from 1 species